UACGGAGGGUGCAAGCGUUAUCCGGAUUCACUGGGUUUAAAGGGUGCGUAGGCGGGCAGGUAAGUCAGUGGUGAAAUCCCCGGGCUUAACUUGGGAACUGCCGUUGAUACUAUCUGUCUUGAAUAUCGUGGAGGUGAGCGGAAUAUGUCAUGUAGCGGUGAAAUGCUUAGAUAUGACAUAGAACACCCAUUGCUAAGGCAGCUCACUACACGGUAAUUGACGCUGAGGCACGAAAGCGUGGGGAGCAAACAGG
rnacentral:rRNA from 1 species